AACACCACCUGCCAACAUUCAGCCUCCUCUGCCCAUCAGCCUUGCUGACACAGGGAGUGGAGAUUUGUGUAGAGAAAUGACUCAUUCAAAUAUGACUUAAUCUAAACCGUAAGUGUAUGAUUUAUUAAUGUGCCACCAGGCCUUACACCAAGAGAGCCAUUCCAGAGAAAAGUCCUUUUUCUCCUGAGAACAGUGCCAGCAGCUGGCUUCGUGACAUUCUGGAAGCCCCGUGCAAUGCUGUCAGGAGCAUAGGGAUUUUACUUUAUCUCCCUUGCUUAUGCUCCACAUAACUGAAAUAUCUCACUGGAAGCUGCAGCAGUGCUGGCCCCUUGCACAGCCAUAUGUGACCACUGCAGAACAAUCAGUUGGAGAGACAGUUUGGACUACAUGGAGGGUGGAGAUAAGGACAAAGUGAAGAAUACACAGGAACCAGUGCCUCCUCCUGGAACUAUGCAACUCCAAGCUGCUUCCAUCAGCUGCUAGGUCCAGUAGGGAGGGACCUACUGAGAGCAUUGCCAGAAAACUCAUUUCUCAGUGACACCAUUGUAAUUACUCAUUUGAUUAUCCCGCAAUACACAUAUAAGAGUCUCAGGAAAACAGUACCAUCAGCAUUAUAUGAGCUAAUUAAAAAUGUGGUGUCCUGGACUCACGAAGCCAGAAUUGCUGAGGAGAUAGCCCGAGAAUCUGAAUUUUUAGCAGACAUUUUUUUAGGUACCUUACCCGCAGGAUCAUUUCUGUGAAUAUCCAUGAGGUGAAAAAGUCUGGGAAACACUGUCCUAGACAGGAAACGCCACGAAGUGUCUGGAUCAAAGAACAGACUAUUGCUCACAGAGCACCUUCAUAGCAUUGUUCCUCAUGCCCCCGUUGCCCAAGGGGAUGGCAGGUUGAGGACCAGAUGUACUUGCAUGUUCAGGGGAUGCAGCACAGAAGAGGAACUCCAAAAUUAUUAUUAUUAUUGUUAUUAUUAUUAUUUUUGAGAUGGAGUCUCGCUCUGUCGCCCAGCCUGGAGUGCAGUGGCGUGAUCUCGGCUCACUGCAAGCUCCGCCUCCCGGGUUCACGCCAUUCUCCUGCCUCAGCCUCCCGAGUAGCUGGGACUACAGGCACGCACCGCCACGCCCUGUUAAUUUUUUUUGUAUUUUUUUUUAGUAGAGACAGGGUUUCACCGUGUUAGCCAGGAUGGUCUUGAUCUCCUGACCUCGUGAUCCACCCGCCUCGGCCUCCCAAAGUGCUGGGAUUACAGGCGUGAGCCACCGCGCCCGGCCGAACUCCAAAAUUAUUAAACUCUGAGCGUCUGCAGGUGACUGACACAUCUGCGCUUCCUUUCUUCCAGGGUGUGGGGAAGAGCGAGAAAAAGAUUUCCGCUCUGGAAGGUAAACAAAUACUCUCUGGAGAGAGAAGAGGAAUGUCCCUAGCAGAUGUCUCCAGAGAAGACAAGACUUUAAAUUCCGCCAGGGAAAUAUACAAUGUCUAACUUCUAAGGCACAUUUGCCAUUCAAUCAUGCUUUAACCCACGUUGCCAGAAAUUUUUGCUCACUAGGUUUUGACUGUACAGGAAUGUGAAAAUAUUCAUGAAGAGUUGUUUUCCAAUGCUAAAGAAUUGAUGUGUUUUAACAGUUGAAUUAAUUGUAUUGAUUAUGAUCACACCUACUUUUUAUAUAUCUUCAUUUCUAACGUUUCUGUACAAUCCUGCCUUUCCACCUGAUAUAGUUAGGCCUUGUGUCAUCAACCAAAUCUCAUCUUGAAUUGUAAUCGCCAUAAUCCCCACGUAUUUAGGGAGAGACCUGGAGGGAGGUGUUUGGAUCAUGGGGGCGGUUUCCCGCAUGCUGUUCUCAUGACCAUGAGAGUAAGUUCUCAAGAGAUCUGAUGGUUUUAUAAGCGUCUGUCAUUUCCACUGCUUGCACUUCUGUGUCCUGCCACCUUGUGAAGAAGGACGUGGUUGCUUCCCCUUCCACCAUGAUUGUGUUUCCUGAGGCCUCCCCAGCCUUGCAGAGCUGUGAGUCAAUUAAACCUCUUUCCUUUAUAAAUUACUCAGUCUCUGUAUUCCUCUGCAGCAGUGUGAGAACAGACUAAUACAUCACCACUUUAUUUACUUUACUCUCUCCCCAUACCGAGGUUUUCUACAUUUUCUUUCUAGGUCUCUACAGUUUCUGCAAAGAUCCUUUAUGGAACUCUUAGGGAAGCUGGGAUGUAUAAUAAAUAAAGGGCUCUUUUCUUUGAGUCCCACACCCAUUUUCUGUGUAUAAAAAUCUUCAACUCCACUUUUGUCUGUUCUAUUUAAAUGUGUGCACAUUUCCUUCUAAUGUUGUAUAUGAAAAAGAGACACCUCUUAGCAGUCUUUCAUAGAGCAAAAUUUUUUACUUUGAUAAAAUCUAAUUUAUCAAUAUUUUUAAAUUUUAUGGAUCAAUCAUGCUUUUGAGGUUGAAUUUAAGAAUGCUUUGCCUAGCCCUAGAUCCCAAGUAUCUUUUAAAAAUUAUUUUUCUAAAUGCAUUAUUUAUGUUUUACACUUAAGUCUAUAAUCCAUUUUGAGUCCAUGUGUAAGAUUUAGGUUAAGGUCAAGAUUUAUCUGUUUUUGUUGUUUUCUCUAUAAAUGUCAAUUGCUCCAGCACUAUUUGUUUAAAAGCCAAUCUUUCCUCCGCUGAGUUCUUCCUAUAAGUUUGUCAAAAGUCAAUUUGGCAUCUUUGUAUAAGUUUAUUUCUGGAUUCUCUAUUCUGUUUUAUUGAUCACUGCAUCUAUCCCUCUUGAUUAGCUAGAUAAUAAAUCCUACAAUAAGGUAGAAUUCUUCCCACUUUAUUCAUAUUCAAAAUAUUUUAAAGCUAUUCUAGUUUCUUUUUAUUUCCAUAUAUAUUUUAGGAUAAUCUUAUCUAUAUUUACAACAUAUGUUGCUAGGAUUUUGAUAGAAUUUGUUUUAAAUUUGUGUAUCAAUGUAGGGAAGACCUGACAUCUUUACUAUUACGUUGAUCUUCCAAUCAAUGAAUAUGGUAUAUCUCUCAGUUUAUAGCUAUUGUCUUUAAUUUAUUUCAUCAUGGUUUUUAGUUUUCAGCAGAGAAGCUUUAUACAUGUUUUGUUAUACAUGUAUAACAAAAGAAGCCUUAUACACUGACAUUUUAUAUUUUGAACAAUUGUAAAUGGUAUUGUUUAAAAAUUUUGUUGUCUAUGAUAGAAAUAAAAUUGAUUUUUGUAGGUUUAUCUUGUAACCUAUGACUUGCUGAGCUCGCUCAUUAGUUUUUUUAUUGUGAUAAAAUAUACAUGAGAUAAAUUUCAUCAUUAUAAUCAUUAAGUUUAGACAUCAAUUGCAUUAAGUACAUAAAUGCCUUAUGCAACCAUCAUCUCUAUCCAUCUCCAGACCCUUUGCAUCACCCUAAAAUGAAACUCUGUGCCCAUUAAACAAUAACUCCCCAUUCUGCCCUCACCCCAGCCCUUGGUAAUUACCAUCCUACCUUUUAUCUCUAUAAAUUUAACCAUCCCAGGUAACUCAUAUAAGUGGAAUCAUGCAGUGUUUGUCCUUUUGUAACUGGUUUAUUUCACUUAGCAUGAUGUCUUCAAGGUUUGCCUAUGUCAUAGCAUGUGUCAGAAUUUCAUCCCUUUUUAAACUUAAAUAAUAUUCCACUGUAGGCAUAUGCCACAUUUUGUUUAUUUGUUCAUCUGUUGAUGGGCAUUUGGGUUGUUUCCACCUUUUGGCUACUGUGAAUAAUGCUGCUGUGAUCAUGGGUAUGCAACUGUCUCCUGGAGUCCCUGCUAUCAAUUCUUGUGGGUAUAUACCCAGAAGUGGAAUUGUUGCAACAUAUAGUAAUUCUAUGUUUAAUUUUUUGAGGACCUGCCAUAAUGUUUUCCACAGUAGCUACAUUGUCUUAUAUUCCCAUUAAGAGUUCCAAUUUCCUCACAUCUUCACCAAUACUUAUUGUUUUCUGUUUUUUUAAAUAAUAGCCAUCAUAAUAAAAGUAACAUGGUAUCUCAUUGUGGUUUUAACUGCAUUUCCCUUUUUACUGGAUUGUUUGUAAUAUUGCUGUAAUUGAGUUGUAGGAGUUUUUAAAUAUGUUCUGAAUAAUUAAUUUCUUAUCAGAUAUGUCAUUUGCAAAUAUUUUCUGCCAUUCUCUGGGUUGUCAUUUCACUCUCUUGAUAGUGUCCUUUGAUGCACAGAAGUUUUGAAAUUUGAUAAAGUUUAAUUUGCGUAUGUAUUUAUUUUGUUGCUUAUGCUUUUGGUGUCAUAUCCAAGAAAUUAUUGCCAAAUUCAGUGUCAUGAAGAUUUUCCCCUGUGUUUUCCUCUAAGAGUAUUAUAGUUUUAACUCUUGCACUUAGAUUGAUCCGCUUUGAGUUAAUUUUAGUAUAUGGGGUAAGACAAGGGCUCAAAUUUGUUCUUUUGUUUGAAGAUUCUAGGUCAUUUGUGAUCUUUAGGAUUUUCUAUGUAGACAUUAAUGUCAUCUUCAAAUAUGAACAGUUUAUUUCUUCCUUUUGUAUAUGUAUGAAUUUACUUUCCUUUUCUUGCCUUAUUGCACUGGCUAGAGUUUUCAGUACUAUGAUGAAUAAAAUCAGUGAGAGCAGACACCCUUGCUUUGUUUCUAAUCUUAGGAGGAAAGCUUUCAGUCUUUCAUCAUUAGGUAUACUGUUAGUUGUAGGCUUAUUAUAGAUGCUCUUUAUCAGGUUGAGGCAGUUUCCUCCUUGGUUAAGACUUUCUAUUUUUCAUUUUCAGUUAUGACCAGGCAUGUUCAUAACUGCUCAUCAAAACUUUGAAUUAGUGGCUGCUUUAACAUCCUUCUCAGACAAUUCUAACAUCUGUUUUGUUGGUGGUGGCAUCUAUCAAUUGUCUUUUUCAUUCUGUUUGAGAUCUUCCUUGCGUUUGGUAUGAUUUUUUUAAAUAUUAUGUCAUGAAACUGCAUCUUAUUUAAAUCUUCUGUUUUAGUUGGCUAUGUCUGACAUCACUUCCCCAGGGGAAGGUGUUGUUACUGCUAGUGGAGGGUGAGAAUUAUGGCUCUCCACUGACAUUGUGGUGGGAUUGGUCCCAUUACCACUGGGCAGGGUUGAAAGUCCUGACUUUCUGCUAGGCCUUCUCUGACUUCAUCGCAGCAGGAGGAAAAGAUGCCUCUGGAGUUGAAGUCAGGUUGCACUGACACUGUGUGUGUAUGGAGGUAGGCUGGGGUGAAAGUGGAGACUCAUUACCACAUGGUGAGUAGUUUCCAGCUCUCUAUUUGGCCUUCUCUGAUACCACCCAGACAGGGACAUUGGGGAUACCUCAUUACAGCCUAGUGAGGGUCAAACUCUAGGCUCCCCACUCAGUCUUUGCUAUCAUGGACACUGUAGGACCAUAGUUUUUUCUGUGCUGUUUGCUUGAUGUGUCUUCCUUGGACCCUGAGUUCCAUAGCUGGUCUGCAUUCCUCUCUCCACCUUUAAGACGUCUUCUUAUGUUUAUUUCAUAUUUAACAUCCAGGGUGGUAAUUAGAGGGAAGAAUAGAGGGAAAAGUACAGUUGCACUUUGUUGUUCAAAGAGCAGUUUUGAACUGCACAGACCCAUUUCUCUGAGCACACCCAGGGAUGAUUGUACUUGUAUAAAAUUUUUUUCCUGGAUGCAGAAUUCUCAAUUGACUGUGAAAGUUCAUAACAAAGAAAACAGUGGGGAAGACAAAUCUGGAAAUGAGGAAAAUAAAAAUUAAAUAGUGAGACCACCCAUGGAGCUUGUGGCAAAGCCUGAAUUGAAUCCGCUGUAUCUUAAGAUUGUGCCUCAUUCUAAAUUUAAGUCACCCUUCUCAUUAUGAAAGUGUCACAACUUCUCAGUAGGUGAGGAGACAGUCUAAAUUUGAGAAAAGAAAGUUACAACAAAGGUUUUGAGCAAGCUGCUAAGUGGAUUUAUUCAUGUUUGAGAAAUCAAAUAUAUGGUUAAUGAGCUCUUUAACUAGAAGCCAACACUAGGGAGGAGUAGACAGAAGUCACGGGGAGGGAGCCCCCGGACAUUUCAAAAGACUUUGCCCUGCAACAUCUCCUCCACAUUUAAGCUUUUAGGUUAUUGUAGCCACAUCACAAGCAUGUUACCUACCCAGAUAUUGUCUGCGCAUCAUUCCCAAAAGCUUCCCUGGGUCUUCAUAAUAUUAAUGAGAUUCUCCCCCAGGUUAGACCCCUUUGGCUUGAGUCAGAAACAGAAUUAAUCCGGGGGACAAUCCAGCAGCACCCAUCUCUGGGUUGCAGAAAUAUCUGAGGUGACCAGGCAGUGUUUGGAGUCCCCUCAGUUAGCUAACAAAGUGAGUUCACAGCUUCCAAGACCCCAGGCUUUCCAGGCUAAUAAAGAGCUGAGGUUAUAGGCUCUCCUUAUCAAACGCUCUUUGGCAGCUGCCAUAACCAUUCCAAGUCUAGUCCUAGAAUAGAAAUGACGCGGUUUCAGGAGCUGACAGAUGGAACUUUAAGCCUUCCUUCCUGCCACAUCUGAAGUUCUUUUUUAAAAAAAUAGAAAACCAUGACAAUAAACACUCCUUGAAUGCCCUGUGGAAAAGUGUACUCCUCAGAAUUCACUAAAGUGGGGUGAAGCAGUGGGUUGUGGUGCUGAGAAAACAUCUCUUCCCCUCGGCAGUAUAUUGGAAUCUCAUAGAAACUUCUGUGGCUGGGAAGCAAACAUGCUCUCUGCCCCAUUGCUCUUAUUCAUCUUUAGACCUGAUAAUACAGUUUGAACUUCAAGUUGCACUUUAAAUGGCAUGCAUUUUUA
rnacentral:lncRNA from 10 species